rnacentral:rRNA from 1 species
CCCGAGGAAAAGAAAUCAACCGAGAUUCCCCCAGUAGCGGGGAGCGAACGGGGAGCAGCCCAGAGUCAACAUCAAUAUUUACCGCAGGAGAAGGGUCUGGAAAGGCCGGCAACAAAGGGUGAUAGCCCCCCGUAUCUGAAACGGUAAGUGUUGUGAACUCGAAGAGUAGGGCGGGACACGUGUUAUCCUGUUUGAAUAUGGGGGGACCAUCCUCCAAGGCUAAAUACUCCUGACUGACCGAUAGUGAACCAGUACCGUGAGGAAAAGGUAAAAAAACCCCGGCAAGGGGAGUAAAAUAAAACCUGAAACUCUGUACUUACAACCAGUGGGAGCACCCGAAAGGGUGUGACUGCGUACCUUUUUUAUAUGCGUACCUUUUGUAUAAAAGGUCAGCGACUUAUAUUCUGUAGCACGGUUAACCGGAUAGAGAAGCCGUAGGGAAACCGACUCUUAACUGGGCGUUAAGUUCCAGGGUAUAGACCCGAAACCCGGUGAUCUAGCCAUGGGCAGGUUGAAGGUUGGGUAACACUAACUGGAGGACCA